rnacentral:rRNA from 1 species
CACGAACGCUGGCGGCAUGCCUAACACAUGCAAGUCGAACGAGACCUUCGGGUCUUGUGGCGCACGGGUGCGUAACGCGUGGGACCCUGCCCCUAGGUUCGGAAUAACCUCCCGCAUGGGGUGAUAAUACCGGCUAAUCUCUUCGGACCACAGAUUUAUCGCUUUUGGAUGGGCCCGCGUUGGCUUAGCUAGUUGGUAGGGUAAAAGCCUACCAAGGCGACGAUCCAUAGCUGGUCUGAGAGGAUGAUCAGCCACCCUGGGACUGAGACACGGCCCAGACUCCUACGGGAGGCAGCAGUGGGGAAUAUUGUACAAUGGGCGAAAGCCUGAUCCAGCAAUGCCGCGUGGGUGAUGAAGGCCUUAGGGUUGUAAAGCUCUGUUACCCGGGAUGAUAAUGACAGUACCGGGAGAAUAGGCUCCGGCUAACUCCGUG